rnacentral:rRNA from 1 species
GCGUGAGUGAUGAAGGCCCUAGGGUUGUAAAGCUCUUUUACCAGGGAUGAUAAUGACAGUACCUGGAGAAUAAGCUCCGGCUAACUCCGUGCCAGCAGCCGCGGUAAUACGGAGGGAGCUAGCGUUGUUCGGAAAUACUGGGCGUAAAGCGAACGUAGGCGGCUACGUAAGUCAGGGGUGAAAUCCCGGGGCUCAACCCCGGAACUGCCUUUGAAACUGCAUAGCUAGAAUCCUGGAGAGGCGAGUGGAAUUCCGAGUGUAGAGGUGAAAUUCGU